rnacentral:rRNA from 1 species
ACUACGGGUGGCUGCAGUGGGGAAUAUUGGGCAAUGGGCGCAAGCCUGACCCAGCAACGCCGCGUGAAGGAAGAAGGCUUUCGGGUUGUAAACUUCUUUUAUCAGGGACGAAGCAAGUGACGGUACCUGAUGAAUAAGCCACGGCUAACUACGUGCCAGCAGCCGCGGUAAUACGAAGGUGGCAAGCGUUAUCCGGAUUUACUGGGUGGAAAGGGCGCGUAGGCGGGAGUGCAAGUCAGAUGUGAAAACUAUGGGCUCAACCCAUAGCCGGCAUUUGAAACUGUACUUCUUGAGUGCUGGAGAGGCAAUCGGAAUUCCGGGUGUAGCGGUGAAAUGCGUAGAUAUACGGAGGAACACCAGUGGCGAAGGCGGAUUGCUGGACAGUAACUGACGCUGAGGCGCGAAAGCGUGGGGAGCAAACAGGAUUAGAUACCCCAGUAGUC